UAGGGAAUCUUCGGCAAUGGACGGAAGUCUGACCGAGCAACGCCGCGUGAGUGAAGAAGGUUUUCGGAUCGUAAAGCUCUGUUGUUAGAGAAGAACGUUGGUAGGAGUGGAAAAUCUACCAAGUGACGGUAACUAACCAGAAAGGGACGGCUAACUACGUGCCAGCAGCCGCGGUAAUACGUAGGUCCCGAGCGUUGUCCGGAUUUAUUGGGCGUAAAGCGAGCGCAGGCGGUUCUUUAAGUCUGAAGUUAAAGGCAGUGGCUUAACCAUUGUAAGCUUUGGAAACUGGAGGACUUGAGUGCAGAAGGGGAGGGUGGAAUUCCAUGUGUAGCGGUGAAAUGCGUAGAUAUAUGGAGGAACACCGGUGGCGAAAGCGGCUCUCUGGUCUGUAACUGACGCUGAGGCUCGAAAGCGUGGGGAGCAAACAGG
rnacentral:rRNA from 1 species